rnacentral:rRNA from 1 species
UACGUAGGGUGCGAGCGUUGUCCGGAAUUACUGGGCGUAAAGAGCUCGUAGGUGGUUUGUCGCGUUGUUCGUGAAAACCUGAGGCUUAACCUUGGGCGUGCGGGCGAUACGGGCAGACUGGAGUACUGCAGGGGAGACUGGAAUUCCUGGUGUAGCGGUGGAAUGCGCAGAUAUCAGGAGGAACACCGGUGGCGAAGGCGGGUCUCUGGGCUGACACUGACGCUGAGGCGCGAAAGCCAGGGGAGCGAACGGG